rnacentral:rRNA from 1 species
UACGAAGGGGGCUAGCGUUGUUCGGAAUCACUGGGCGUAAAGCGCACGUAGGCGGAUUUGUUAGUCAGGGGUGAAAUCCCGGAGCUCAACUCCGGAACUGCCUUUGAUACUGCAAGUCUCGAGUCCGAUAGAGGUGGGUGGAAUUCCUAGUGUAGAGGUGAAAUUCGUAGAUAUUAGGAAGAACACCGGUGGCGAAGGCGGCCCACUGGAUCGGUACUGACGCUGAGGUGCGAAAGCGUGGGGAGCAAACAGG